GAGGGUAGAGCUCAGUGGUAGAGUGCAUGCUUAGCAUGCACAAGGUCCUGGGUUCAAUCCCCAGUACCUCCA
rfam:Camelus ferus unplaced genomic scaffold scaffold1107, whole genome shotgun sequence.